AAAUUGAAGAGUUUGAUCAUGGCUCAGAUUGAACGCUGGCGGCAGGCCUAACACAUGCAAGUCGAACGGUAACAGGAAGCAGCUUGCUGCUUCGCUGACGAGUGGCGGACGGGUGAGUAAUGUCUGGGAAACUGCCUGAUGGAGGGGGAUAACUACUGGAAACGGUAGCUAAUACCGCAUAACGUCGCAAGACCAAAGAGGGGGACCUUCGGGCCUCUUGCCAUCGGAUGUGCCCAGAUGGGAUUAGCUUGUUGGUGGGGUAACGGCUCACCAAGGCGACGAUCCCUAGCUGGUCUGAGAGGAUGACCAGCCACACUGGAACUGAGACACGGUCCAGACUCCUACGGGAGGCAGCAGUGGGGAAUAUUGCACAAUGGGCGCAAGCCUGAUGCAGCCAUGCCGCGUGUAUGAAGAAGGCCUUCGGGUUGUAAAGUACUUUCAGCGGGGAGGAAGGGAGUAAAGUUAAUACCUUUGCUCAUUGACGUUACCCGCAGAAGAAGCACCGGCUAACUCCGUGCCAGCAGCCGCGGUAAUACGGAGGGUGCAAGCGUUAAUCGGAAUUACUGGGCGUAAAGCGCACGCAGGCGGUUUGUUAAGUCAGAUGUGAAAUCCCCGGGCUCAACCUGGGAACUGCAUCUGAUACUGGCAAGCUUGAGUCUCGUAGAGGGGGGUAGAAUUCCAGGUGUAGCGGUGAAAUGCGUAGAGAUCUGGAGGAAUACCGGUGGCGAAGGCGGCCCCCUGGACGAAGACUGACGCUCAGGUGCGAAAGCGUGGGGAGCAAACAGGAU
rnacentral:rRNA from 1 species